rnacentral:rRNA from 1 species
GAUGAACGCUAGCGGCAGGCUUAAUACAUGCAAGUCGUGGGGCAGCAGGGGUGUAGCAAUACAUCUGCUGGCGACCGGCAAACGGGUGCGUAACACGUACGCAACCUUCCCGUUACUGUGGCAUAGCCCAGGGAAACUUGGAUUAAUACCACAUAUUAUAUAGAGAGGGCAUCCUUUUUAUAUCAAAGCUUCGGCGGUAACGGAUGGGCGUGCGGUUGAUUAGGUAGUUUGCGGGGUAACGGCCCACCAAGCCUACGAUAAAUAGCUGAUGUGAGAGCAUGAUCAGCCACACGGGCACUGAGACACGGGCCCGACUCCUACGGGAGGCAGCAGUAAGGAAUAUUGGGCAAUGGACGAAAGUCUGACCCAGCCAUGCCGCGUGAAGGAUUAAGGUCCUCUGGAUUGUAAACUUCUUUUCUCUGGGGCGAAAACCAGCUAUUCUUAGCUAUUUGACAGUACCAGAGGAAUAAGCACCGGCUAACCCCGUGCCAGCAGCCGCAGUAACAC